rnacentral:rRNA from 1 species
GUCUACGGCCAUACCACCCUGAACGCGCCCGAUCUCGUCUGAUCUCGGAAGCUAAGCAGGGUCGGGCCUGGUUAGUACUUGGAUGGGAAAAGGUCAGCUGGCAGUCAUGAAGACC